AGUGAACGCUGGCGGUAGGCCUAACACAUGCAAGUCGAACGGCAGCACAGUAAGAGCUUGCUCUUACGGGUGGCGAGUGGCGGACGGGUGAGGAAUACAUCGGAAUCUACUUUUUCAUGGGGGAUAACGUAGGGAAACUUACGCUAAUACCGCAUACGACCUACGGGUGAAAGCAGGGGAUCUUCGGACCUUGCGCGAUUGAAUGAGCCGAUGUCGGAUUAGCUAGUCGGCGGGGUAAAGGCCCACCAAGGCGACGAUCCGUAGCUGGUCUGAGAGGAUGAUCAGCCACACUGGAACUGAGACACGGUCCAGACUCCUACGGGAGGCAGCAGUGGGGAAUAUUGGACAAUGGGCGCAAGCCUGAUCCAGCCAUACCGCGUGGGUGAAGAAGGCCUUCGGGUUGUAAAGCCCUUUUGUUGGGAAAGAAAAGCAGCAGGUUAAUACCCCGCUGUUCUGACGGUACCCAAAGAAUAAGCACCGGCUAACUUCGUG
rnacentral:rRNA from 1 species